CCAGCCCUGGGAACACGGUCGGCCCUGAGUCCAGCCUGGGAGAAGCCAGGCUGGGCCCGGACUGCUCAGGCGCUGCAAUCGGCCCCUGGCGCAGGUGCCGUCGUCGCAGGAGCGGCUCAGGGGCCGCCGCCGUCCCUGUCACCCUCCUGGGCGCACACGGUCGCGACGCAGCGCGGAGACGGCACAGACGUCCAUGGAGCCGCAAGGCGGGCGCCGGGGGUCAUUCUGCUGAUCUUUUGCCGAGUGUGCUGAGCAAAUGGCAUCGUCAGGACUUGGCACAAGUGGACGCGUCCUUCUCACCACAUCUCAUUUCUACUCUCCAUCCUAUGGUCGGCCCCCCUCCCAGUCCCUUGCACUCAGGGCCCAGGAGGAGCAGCCUUCCAGUCUCUGCAGGCUCAAGCCUGCAGGUCAGAAGUCUGGAUCUAACUGCGAUAAAAUGAAGCGAUCAGCAGGCCGUGUUCCCUCAGCAGGCAGAGGCCCUGGAGCAUAAGA